rnacentral:rRNA from 1 species
CAAUAGCGUAUAUUAAAGUUGUUGCAGUUAAAAAGCUCGUAGUUGGAUUUCGGGUGGGACGCAGCGGUCUCGCAUUGCGUUUGUACUGCUGCAGCCCUCCUUCUUGCCGGGGGCGGCCUCUCGGACUUCACUGUCUGGGGGUCAGAAUCGGCGAUGUUACUUUGAGUAAAUUAGAGUGUUCAAAGCAAGCUUACGCUCUGAAUAUAAUAGCAUGGGAUAACACGACAGGACUCUGGCCUAUCGUGUUGGUCUAUAGGACCAGAGUAAUGAUUAAGAGGGACAGUCGGGGGCAUUCGUAUUCCGUUGUCAGAGGUGAAAUUCUUGGAUUUACGGAAGACGAACAUCUGCGAAAGCAUUUGCCAAGGAUGUUUNCAUUAA